ACGCUGGCGGCACGCCUAACACAUGCAAGUCGAACGAAGUAGCAAUACUUAGUGGCAGACGGGUGAGUAACAUGUAGGUAUCUGCCCUUUGGCCUGGAAUAACACGAGGAAACUUGUGCUAAUACCGGAUAAGUCUUUACAGAGAAAGCUUUAUGCACCAUUGGAUGAGCCUGCACUUGAUUAGUUUGUUGGUGGGGUAAUGGCCUACCAAGACUGUGAUCAAUAGCUGAUUUGAGAGGAUGAUCAGCCACAUUGGGACUGAGACACGGCCCAAACUCCUACGGGAGGCAGCAGUGGGGAAUCUUGCACAAUGGAGGAAACUCUGAUGCAGCGAUGCCGCGUGAGUGAAGAAGGCCUUUGGGUUGUAAAGCUCUUUCGUCGGGGAAGAAAAUGACUGUACCCGAAUAAGAAGGUCCGGCUAACUUCGUGCCAGCAGCCGCGGUAAUACGAAGGGACCUAGCGUAGUUCGGAAUUACUGGGCUUAAAGAGUUCGUAGGUGGUUGAAAAAGUUAGUGGUGAAAUCCCAGAGCUUAACUCUGGAACUGCCAUUAAAACUUUUCAGCUAGAGUAUGAUAGAGGAAAGCAGAAUUUCUAGUGUAGAGGUGAAAUUCGUAGAUAUUAGAAAGAAUACCAAUUGCGAAGGCAGCUUUCUGGAUCAUUACUGACACUGAGGAACGAAAGCAUGGGUAGCGAAGAGGAUUAGAUACCCUCGUAGUCCAUGCCGUAAACGAUGUGUGUUAGACGUUGGAAAUUUAUUUUCAGUGUCGCAGGGAAACCGAUAAACACACCGCCUGGGGAGUACGACCGCAAGGUUAAAACUCAAAUGAAUUGACGGGGACCCGCACAAGUAGUGGAGCAUGUGGUUUAAUUCGAAGAUACGCGCAGAACCUUACCAACACUUGACAUGUUCGUCGCGACUCUAAGAGAUUGGAGUUUUCGGUUCGGCCGGACGAAACACAGGUGCUGCAUGGCUGUCGUCAGCUCGUGUCGUGAGAUGUUGGGUUAAGUCCCGCAACGAGCGCAACCCUCACUUUUAGUUGCCAUCAUUAAGUUGGGCACUCUGAAAGAACUGCCAGUGAUAAGCUGGAGGAAGGUGGGGAUGACGUCAAGUCCUCAUGGCCCUUACGUGUUGGGCUACACACGUGCUACAAUGGUAUCUACAACAGGAAGCAAGACUGCGAAGUUAAGCAAAUCCCUAAAAGAUACCUCAGUUCGGAUUGCACUCUGCAACUCGAGUGCAUGAAGCUGGAAUUACUAGUAAUCGUGGAUCAGCGUGCCACGGUGAAUGCGUUCCCGGGUCUUGUACUCACCGC
rnacentral:rRNA from 1 species